UACGUAGGGGGCAAGCGUUGUCCGGAUUUAUUGGGCGUAAAGCGCUCGCAGGUGGUUCGUUGCGUCGUGCGUGAAAGACCCCGGCUCAACUGGGGGAUGUCGUGCGAUACGGGCGGACUGGAGGCCAGUAGGGGGAUGCGGAAUUCCGGGUGUAGUGGUGGAAUGCGUAGAGAUCCGGAGGAACACCAGCGGCGAAGGCGGCAUCCUGGACUGGUCCUGACACUCAGGAGCGAAAGCGUGGGGAGCGAACAGG
rnacentral:rRNA from 1 species